AUUGAACGCUGGCAGCAGGCUUAACACAUGCAAGUCGAGCGGAGAUGAGGUGCUUGCACCUUAUCUUAGCGGCGGACGGGUGAGUAAUGCUUAGGAAUCUGCCUAUUAGUGGGGGACAACAUUCCGAAAGGAAUGCUAAUACCGCAUACGCCCUACGGGGGAAAGCAGGGGACCUUCGGACCUUGCGCUAAUAGAUGAGCCUAAGUCGGAUUAGCUAGUUGGUGGGGUAAAGGCCUACCAAGGCGACGAUCUGUAGCGGGUCUGAGAGGAUGAUCCGCCACACUGGGACUGAGACACGGCCCAGACUCCUACGGGGGGCAGCAGUGGGGAAUAUUGGACAAUGGGCGGAAGCCUGAUCCAGCCAUGCCGCGUGUGUGAAGAAGGCCUUUUGGUUGUAAAGCACUUUAAGCGAGGAGGAGGCUACCUGGAUUAAUACUCUGGAUAGUGGACGUUACUCGCAGAAUAAGCACCGGCUAACUCUGUGCCAGCCGCCGCCGUAACAC
rnacentral:rRNA from 1 species